AGACCGCAACGCGCGGGGGAAGCGCGCCCGAGCAAGGAAGAAAGCAGGACAACCCGUACGCAGCGCCACGGCACGCGCAAGUUGGGGUCCCCCAGGACCCAACCGAGCGGCCAGGGCAGCGGAGCGAGCCGGGAGGAGGCGCCCAGGCAGUUUUCUUCUCGUCCGGAGGCCCCUCACGCUUCGCUUUUUGAGCCUGAAUUUCUGACUCGAUUCCCGCCCUUGCGGGGCGGCGCCGGCAGGUCUGGGGACUGGAGAGCCGCGCAGCGCGGAAAGGCGAGAGGACGCGAGUCCUGCUUCCCGGUCUCCGGCUGAGCGCCGUCUGCGGGGAUCCGGGCUUCGCGGGAGAGGGAGAAGCCACCCGAACGGAGGAACUCAUCUGUCGGAGGUCUAUCCCUCGGGUGCGCAGCGGGCGGACGCGCCGCAGGUCGGAGUGGCCCGGCCACCCCGCUUCUGCUGUCCCAGCUGCUACGGUUCCUGUCCCUCGCUCUCCGCCUCCUCUGACGGGGCCGGGCCAAACCCACUGUCCUGUUUGGUCCACUUCUUGCUACUAGCAUCCCGUGGCCCCCACACUUGGGGUCGUUUCCAGUUGUGUUAAGCGGGCAGAGGCGAGUCACAGCUCCGUGGCUGGGGUCCUCAUUUUGCGGGUUUGGGGAUGCGGGGGGU